rnacentral:rRNA from 1 species
CCUACGGGGGGCAGCAGUGGGGAAUAUUGGACAAUGGGCGCAAGCCUGAUCCAGCAAUGCCGCGUGUGUGAAGAAGGCCUGCGGGUUGUAAAGCCCUUUAAGCAGGAAAGAAGGGGUGAAAGUUAAUACCUUUCAUCAUUGACGUUACCUGCAGAAUAAGCACCGGCUAACUCCGUGCCAGCAGCCGCGGUAAUACGGAGGGUGCGAGCGUUGCGCAGAGUUCGUGGACGUAGAUUGCGCAGUCGCGGGUGAAAGCCCUGGGCUUAACCUGGGAACUGCGGUGGAUACUGUCGGGCUAGAGUGUGGUAGAGGGGAGUGGAAUUUCCGGUGUAGCAGUGAAAUGCGUAGAGAUCGGAAGGAACACCAGUGGCGAAGGCGGCUCCCUGGACUAACACUGACGCUGAGGUGCGAAAGCGUGGGGAGCAAACAGGAUUAGAUACCCCAGUAGUC